UGGGGAAUUUUGCGCAAUGGGCUAACGCCUGACGCAGCAACGCCGCGUGGAGGAUGAAGGUCUUUGGAUUGUAAACUCCUGUCAGCAGGGAAAAAGCGACCUGACCUAAUACGUCAGGGAGUUGAUUGUACCUGCAGAGGAAGCCCCGGCUAACUCUGUGCCAGCAGCCGCGGUAAUACAGAGGGGGCAAGCGUUAUUCGGAAUUAUUGGGCGUAAAGGGCGCGUAGGCGGCUUUGCAAGUGGCGGGUGAAAUCCCUCGGCUUAACCGAGGAACUGCCUGCCAGACUGUGAGGCUUGAGACCGGGAGAGGUGAGUGGAAUUCCCAGUGUAGCGGUGAAAUGCGUAGAUAUUGGGAGGAACACCAGUGGCGAAGGCGGCUCACUGGACCGGAACUGACGCUGAGGCGCGAAAGCGUGGGGAGCAAACAGG
rnacentral:rRNA from 1 species